UACGUAGGGGGCAAGCGUUAUCCGGAUUUACUGGGUGUAAAGGGAGCGUAGACGGUUAUGCAAGUCAGAAGUGAAAGCCCAAAGCUCAACUUCGGGACUGCUUUUGAAACUGUGUAACUAGAGUGCAGGAGGGGUAAGCGGAAUUCCUAGUGUAGCGGUGAAAUGCGUAGAUAUUAGGAGGAACACCAGUGGCGAAGGCGGCCUGCUGGACGACAACUGACGCUGAGGCGCGAAAGCGUGGGGAGCAAACAGG
rnacentral:rRNA from 1 species